AUUGAACGCUGGCGGCAGGCCUAACACAUGCAAGUCGAGCGGAUGAAGGGAGCUUGCUCCUGGAUUCAGCGGCGGACGGGUGAGUAAUGCCUAGGAAUCUUCCUGGUAGUGGGGGAUAACGUCCGGAAACGGGCGCUAAUACCGCAUAAGUCCUGAGGGAGAAAGUGGGGGAUCUUCGGACCUCACGCUGUCAGAUGAGCCUAGGUCGGAUUAGCUAGUUGGUGGGGUAAAGGCCUACCAAGGCGACGAUCCGUGAAUGAUCUGAGAGGAUGAUCAGUCGCACUGGAACUGGGACACGGUCCAGACUACUACGGGAGGCAGCAGUGGGGAAUAUUGGACAAUGGGCGAAAGCCUGAUCCAGCCAUGCCGCGUGUGUGAAGAAGGUCUUCGGAUUGUAAAGCACUUUAAGUUGGGAGGAAGGGCAGUAAGUUAAGACCUUGCUGUUUUGACGGUACCAACAGAAUAAGCACCGGCUAACUUCGUG
rnacentral:rRNA from 1 species